GCCGGUGUGGUGAAAUGGUAGACGCGUCGGAUUCAAAAUCCGGUUCCGAGAGGAGUGUCAGUUCGAGUCUGACCACCGGCACCA
rnacentral:tRNA from 1 species